rnacentral:rRNA from 1 species
GAUGAACGCUGACAGAAUGCUUAACACAUGCAAGUCAACUUGAACUUCGGUUUGGGUGGCGGACGGGUGAGUAACGCGUAAAGAACUUGCCUCACAGUUAGGGACAACAUUUGGAAACGAAUGCUAAUACCUGAUAUUAUGAUUUUAGGGCAUCCUAGAAUUAUGAAAGCUAUAUGCGCUGUGAGAGAGCUUUGCGUCCCAUUAGCUAGUUGGAGAGGUAACGGCUCACCAAGGCGAUGAUGGGUAGCCGGCCUGAGAGGGUGAACGGCCACAAGGGGACUGAGACACGGCCCUUACUCCUACGGGAGGCAGCAGUGGGGAAUAUUGGACAAUGGACCAAGAGUCUGAUCCAGCAAUUCUGUGUGCACGAUGAAGUUUUUCGGAAUGUAAAGUGCUUUCAGUUGGGAAGAAAAAAAUGACGAUACCAACAGAAGAAGUGACGGCUAAAUACGUGC